rnacentral:lncRNA from 1 species
CUUCAACCUUGAUCUCUUUUUGCUACAAAUCAAGAUGAGAAUUCAUAAAUAUUAUAAAAAUUUUAAUUACUAAUCUAUUCUUCUCUCCUAGCAUCCGAUGUGAUCAGAUGAAUUUUUUCUUCACAAGCUCCCCUUGAGAAUUCCACUAUAAUCCUCUCUUAAUUAUAGUGUGUUUGUUUUUUCAGACUCACAAAUAAAUCCAAUUGAUUUUUCAGAGAUCACCAAUCAUAACCCUAC